rnacentral:misc_RNA from 1 species
AUUGCCCCAGUAACGGCGAGUGAAGCGGCAACAGCUCAAAUUUGAAAUCUGGCUCUCGGGCCCGAGUUGUAAUUUGUAGAGGAUGCUUUUGGUGAGGUGCCUUCCGAGUUCCCUGGAACGGGACGCCAUAGAGGGUGAGAGCCCCGUCUGGUUGGACGCCGAACCUCUGUAAAGCUCCUUCGACGAGUCGAGUAGUUUGGGAAUGCUGCUCUAAAUGGGAGGUAUAUGUCUUCUAAAGCUAAAUACCGGCCAGAGACCGAUAGCGCACAAGUAGAGUGAUCGAAAGAUGAAAAGAACUUUGAAAAGAGAGUUAAACAGUACGUGAAAUUGUUGAAAGGGAAGCGCUUGUGACCAGACUUGGGCUUGGUUGAUCAUCCGGGGUUCUCCCCGGUGCACUCUUCCGGCCCAGGCCAGCAUCAGUUCGCCCUGGGGGACAAAGGCAUCGGGAACGUGGCUCUCUCCGGGGAGUGUUA